UGAGUAACGCGUAUGGAACCUACCUGAAACAGGGGGAUAGCUUCCGGAAACGGGGAUUAAUACCCCAUACGAUUCAUUUGUGGCCUCACAAAUGGAUAAAAGCUACGGCGGUUUCAGAUGGUCAUGCGUACCAUUAGCUAGUUGGUGAGGUAAAGGCUCACCAAGGCGAUGAUGGUUAGGGGUCCUGAGAGGGUAGUCCCCCACACUGGUACUGAGACACGGACCAGACUCCUACGGGAGGCAGCAGUGAGGAAUAUUGGUCAAUGGGCGCUAGCCUGAACCAGCCAUGCCGCGUGCAGGAAGACGGCCCUACGGGUUGUAAACUGCUUUUCUGCAGGAAGAAUAUAUAGUCUUAGGGCUAUAUUGACGGUACUGCAGGAAUAAGCAUCGGCUAACUCCGUGCCAGCAGCCGCGGUAAUACGGAGGAUGCAAGCGUUAUCCGGAUUCAUUGGGUUUAAAGGGUGCGCAGGCUGUAAAGCAAGUCAGUGGUGAAAGCCCUGGGCUUAACUCAGGGAUUGCCAUUGAAACUGUUUUACUAGAGUGUAGUAGAGGACGGCGGAAUGAGUUGUGUAGCGGUGAAAUGCAUAGAUAUAACUCAGAACACCUAUUGCGUAGGCAGCUGUCUAUACUACAACUGACGCUGAGGCACGAAAGCGUGGGGAGCGAACAGGACUAGAUACCCUGGUAGUCCACGCUGUAAACGAUGAUCACUCGUUGUUGGCUACUUAGUAGUCAGUGACCAAGGGAAACCGAUAAGUGAUCCACCUGGGGAGUAGGUCGGCACCGAUGAAACUCAAAGGAAUUGACGGGGGCCCGCACAAGCGGAGGAACAUGUGGUUUAAUUGGAUGAUACGCGAGGAACCUUACCUGGGCUUAAUUGCUGGUUGCAUUGGAGGGAAACGUUCAUUUCGUACGGGACCUGCCAGCAAGGUGGUGCAUGGUUGUCGUCAGCUCGUGCCGUGAGGUGUCGGGUUAAGUCCCAUAACGAGCGCAACCCCUAUCGGUAGUGGCCAGCAUGUAACGGUGGGGACUCUAGCGAGACUGCCGGUGUAAACCGGAGGAAGGUGGGGAUGACGUCAAAUCAGCACGGCCCUUACGUCCAGGGCUACACACGUGUUACAAUGGCCGGUAUCAAAGAGCAGCCACCUGGCGACAGGGCGCUAAUCUCUAAAAC
rnacentral:rRNA from 1 species